UGGGGCCUCGGUGAGCGGGAGAGCCGAAAGUGGGAAUUCACCCCCACGGAGAGGCGGAACGGGAAAGGGGGAAAAGGGGCUCUUCCUAUGGACUCACACUGUCUGCAGCUGGUUGUGGCCGGGAUUUCCCCCCUUUCGCUGAUGGACACAAGCCGCUGCCAGCACGGGAGCGGAGGAGGGAAGGGGAGGCCUCUUCCCUCCAAGGUUCCUCUGCAGUGGGUCAAACCUCUCCGAUGGAGUCCGAGCUGGUCCGGGCUGGGGGCAGAACAGGGCACAGGAAAACGGUGGCAAACCGAGGCCAGAAGCAGCCAGGUGACCAGGCCAAAACCAAAAUGAACCUCGGAACCCCUCCACACACCCCCCCUCUCUGAGUCAGGGCAAAAGUGAAGUCCCUGCCAUUUACUGAGGAGAGAAAAAAUCUCACCCCACCCCCACCCCCCUCAGUCUUCUGAGGCCCAUUAGCUCGGACUGUAAGGCUGCUACUUCUUCAGUGUGUGUCAACCACCCUAGCCAACCACCCUCCCCCUCCCUUGUUCAACAUCUUUCUUUUACAGCAAUGCAGGGGAAAGAAAAAUCCCCCGCUUGGUUUUUACAACAAGUAAACCUAUAACACUAUGCAAAAUGACUGUUUAAAGCCUUUUGUAAUUAACUGCCUCUUGUUCUGAUCAUGUCAUUGCUAUCUAAACAUCUUUUUAUAUUAUUAUUUCUUUGUUUAAAUCAUAUCAGAACUCUGCACAUCUUUCCCUAUUAGUGUGUCUACUGUUGUAUGUCUCCACAAAUAUUUAGGUUAUCUAGCACUUAAAUCAUUUCUCAUAACUCAUUUUUGCCGUUUCACUUAUAAGGUGACAAAUGAUAGUUGGAAGGACAACAGGAAAAGUGGGUUAACUGUAAUCUGUGAAACCAAAUAAAAUCUUUGUUGCAGCUUAGUUCACUUACAUCUCUUCAGCACGGAGAAUUAACUUUCCUGUAGGAGACAUCUAAAAGCAAGUGGGAAACUUGAACAGAAACAAAUUCUAGUACUCCAACAAAGCCCAACCAUCACUAUAUCAGAACUUUUUACAGUUAUAAGAUAUUGAAAUUACUAAUAUGUGCUUUAAAGGUUUCCUUAGUUGUGUAAUCCACACCAAUGAAGAGAUCACACACGUAUAUGACCUUUCUGGUCAUGUUUCUAUUAAUGUCAAUCUUCUGGAUUUGGCCACUGGAGCUGCCUUUCACUGCAGGAGCUAAUUAUAAAUGUCCUUUCCCUUUACUUCUAUUAAAUCAAUUGUGGCCUUUAUGUACACUUUUUCCAAGGUAGAUUUCUUGUUUUCCUGUCUCAACAAACAUACAGCUGGUACAAUUCCAUGCUGCAACAAAAACAAACGUGGUGGUUUUGUUUCUUUACAGUAAGUGUCCACUCAUUUUAUUAUUUAAUAGCUCUUCCUGAACGCCAUAAAACACAUAUGGUAAAAUCCUAUUAAAAAUUCUGCUGUAUUUCAUCUGUUGUAGGUAAAGGUGGUGAAGCAGCGAGAGUAAAUUUUCUGAAGGUGAAAGCAGAGCUAAUGUGAACACUGGGAACUUCUACUGGCUUUUAAAUUAAAUGGGCCUCACAUAAGGAAUGUUUUGUGACAGAAAAAGGCUGUUUGUCAAGAUCCUGCCUUUCAAGACACAAUUACAAAUUUGGCACAGAACAUGGCAAAAUGGAUGCAGAACAGAUUGAACACUGAGGGGAAUCUAAGAAAUGCAGCUACCAGAAAUGAAAAUGUUGCAAGCCUGCUGACAAACUGGGAAGGAGGAGAAGGAACCAAAUGAACUGACAGAAAACUCAUGAGACAGCAGGGUGGAAAAAAACCAGGCUUACAACAAUUGGGAUGGAAUAGUCAUUUCUAAAAUGCAACACAGCCCAAGACAUGAUCACAGAGGAUGAUCUACAGCUCUGCACUUAAUACAGAAUUUUAAUUAAUUUAAACUGAAAAUAGUCAGAGUUACCUAAAAUACUGUGAAUUUUCUGCUGGAAAAUGUAUUUCAUUAUCUGUCUAUAAAGAAAAUCAGAGUAAAAAUGUGACAUAUGUUCAUCACUCCUUUGUUCUUCCCUAAUCCCAGGAUUCACACAGCGAAGUUCCUUUAGUACCUUAGUGUGGUGUUAUUUUUUCUCUUAGCUUGCUGAAGUCUAAACUAUUCAACAAGCUAUGAUACCAGAUAUGUAAAAUAUAUUGUCACAUAGAUUGAAGAUUAAUUUCCCAGUCAUUUGGAUAGAAAAGAAUGCACAAUAUUUCUAUGAGAGACAAGAAGACUCCCUUCAUAAUUCGCAAGUUAGAAUCAGAUUCCAAGAAAAGAAGAUGUUAUUUUGUGAGCUGUCUUUAGGGUCUUUUAAAUUAGAUUGAGCUUCCUUUUCAUAAGAUAUGUUAAUCCAUCAAUUCACUUAAGAAGAAAAUCCUUAGUAUUUAAUUUUAUUUUAAAAUUUUACAGAUAUGGAAAUUAAUUUUCAGCUACAACUUUUAUUGAAUUUCCUUGUCCUUAAAAUGUUCAUCCUCCCAGUUGUACUCUAAGCAACACUUGAAUCACUGUUGUGCAAUGAUAUAAAUUUAUGAUAAAGUGUCCUGUGUGCAGGUCCCACCCAAGGUAAAUGGAAAGUCAGAUCCACGGAUGCAGACUGCACUAGAAGAGACGUGUGAAGUUAAAGACACUGAUUUUUUUAAUCUGCAUAAACCCCCUGUUAUGGUGUGCUUCCAUCGCUGACUGAAAAUCAGCAAGUCCCUUGUGCAAACCUACAGAUGAAGCCAAAUGCUGAGUGUGGUCUCAGGUGAGAGGAUAUUUAGUCCAUAAACACAAGCCCAAAUAUUCGCACUCCAAUUCCAGAGGCAGUUCUUUUUUGCUUUUGUAAUCAUUGUCCUGCCUCCACUCUCAUUGUACAGAAUCACAGAAUCAGCUGGGUUGGAAAAGACCUCUGAGAUCAUCGAGUCCAACCUGUGACCCGACACCACCUUGUCACCCAGACCAUGGCACUGAUGUCACAUCCAGUCUCUUAAACACCUCCAGGACGGUGACUCCACCACCUCCCUGGGCAGCCCAUUCCAAUGGUUGAUCACCCUCUCUGUAAAGAGCUUCUUCCUAAUGUCCAACCUAAACCUCCCCUGGCAGAGCUUAAGACUGUGGUCUCUUGUCCUACUGCUUGUUAUGUGGGAGAAGAGUCUGACACCCACCUGGGUACACCCUCCUGUCAGGGAGUUGUGAAGAGUGAGGAGGUCUCCCCUGAGCCUCCCCUUCUCCAGGCUCAACAACCCCAGCUCCCUCAGCCUCUCCCCGUAGGACUUGUGCUCCAGACCCUUCCCCAGCCUCAUUGCCCUUCUCUGGACACGCUACAGCCCCUCAAUGUCCUCCCUGAACUGAGGGGCCCAGAACUGGACACAGCACUCCAGGUGUGGCCUCACCAGUGCUGAGUCCAGGGGCAGAAUCACUUCCCAGGUCCUGCUGCCACACUGUUCCUGAUCCAGGCCAGGAUCCAUUGGCCUUCUUGGCCACCUGGGCACACUGCUGGCUCAUGUUCAGGUAAUUAAUGCAUCUAAGGUAAACCUCUUCUAUACACCAGUGCUUUGGAGAUUUUUGCUAUUGCAGGGUUCUUAGGGUUUCACUCAUUUUUGAGCCACACAAUGUUCCUAUCACCCAGAUCUGUGACUUUAACAGGUACAAAAGAUAUGUAGCUGUUAACCCAUGCAUUUUUAAUCAAGGAGUUCCAUCAGGUGUGCCAGAUGCUAUCUGCACUUGUAUCAGUGUGUAGAUAUGAAAAUACUCCACUUUCAGAUGGUGGCCAGGCUCCCACUUCCUUCUGCGUUCACCUGCAAGUGGUAAAAUUCAGUGCCCUGUUUUCUUUCAUAAGUGAAAAAAGAGCCAGGAAAUCCAUGAAUGGUAAGAACUUUACAUUUGCCUUUAAUUUAAGGUCUCAAAAUGUACUUUACUCUUUAAAAGGAUUUUUAAAAAUCCUUAUGUUAAAGAAAGUUGCUGUCUCAAAUAUCAUGUCAGUCAGCAUUAGCUGUGGCAUUAUUUUAGACAAACUAAGGUUUUGAAUAAAAGUAUAAUUCUUCUGGUGCCACACUCCCAAGGGUAAUGAAAGUAAUCACAAAUCACGAAAUAUUAUGAGUUUUACAGGGCAGUGUUUCCUUUUCAACAUGAGCCACACACUAUCUAAAAAUUGUUGAAUUCCACUUCCAAAGAAUCCAGGUGGGAUGUAUUCAAUGCAGAACUUCUUUUAUGACACUGCCCAAUGUUUUUUACAUGUCCUGUGCCAAGGAACUACUGGAGUUAUUUAUCAGCAUUCCUAAAAUUUAUACAAACCAGCUUUGAUGUAUCAGUGCAAAUUAAGCAGAUCCAAAAUUAGGAAUGAACAUUUAACUCUUGCAAUGAAGUGAAAUUUGCAGAAGUCAAAACAUAAGGGGAAAAAGUAAAAAAAAAAAAAAACUACCCAAAGUAACUGGAAACUGAAUAAAACCACAGAAUUGCAUAGAAACAAUUUUUCACUAAUCUCCAGAAAUUUUUUUUGGUGCGUUUGAUAUCCUUGACCUUAUUCUUAAACCAUAAUUUAGUAGCUAAUCUGUUUCAUCUUCGGUAAAAUCACAGAAAGGAGUGGUUUCAGCAAAGUAUAAUACAUCUUAAAAAGUGGUUUAACACUUUACUGCACCUUGCUUUGACAAAAAUUCAAUUCUACGUAACACCUAAACCAGUCCUAUUUAAAAUUACAACUCUAAAAAAGGAACCAGAAAUGUAACUUCAAAUGCAACCAUUUCUUUUAGCUAAAAUUUAGAAGCUUUUCAAAAGCAUUUCCUACUUGAGUUUUAACACAAAAUCUUAAUAAUAUAUUUUUUCAUAAUAUUACAAGAACACAAAUUUAAAAAAUCCUGUUUAGCCAGCAUAUAUAAUUAAAUAUUUUAAACCUGUGUAAAAGGUUAAAGGUUGCCCACAAUGAAAAAGUUUCAGUUCACAGAACUUUCAAAUUGUAGGAAAUUUUGGACUACAGUUAUUAAUAUUCAUAUUAUUAAUAUUAAAUAAUUCUUGUGCUUCUCUCAAAACAUAUCAUCUCAGUUUAAAUUUCUGUUGAGAAACUUUGCAUCAGUGGGUGGCAAGUGAACAAUGGUGAGCACAGUAAGGUUGGGUUUUUUGCUUACUGGCAAUGUAUCACUAAUAUUUGAUUUACUUUGUAAAGAGAAAAUAAAAAGAGGAAUAUUGAAAAGAAAAAAACCUUCUUUUCAAUGGGCAAGUGAAUAUUUUUGUGGGGCUGAAGGCCAAAUAAGCUUUAUAGGCUUCCUUCUCUGUACAACAUAGUACAGUGUGCAUAUAUAGAGAGAUAGCCCCAUGUGUUAUGGCUAUUAUCCUAUUUUUUGACAUUUUGUUAAAAAGCCUACAAUUCAUUACCCUGGUUAAAUGUUCCUGUGUCUAAAUUUGUCUUCACUGAAGUUUUUUCUUUUUUUUGUGGCUAACCUGAACUCCGUGGACAAAAAACGUUUGUGAUGAAAAUUUUAAUACUAUAUACAACAGUGCUAAAAGACAUAAAUAUGAUAGCAGUAAAAAACCCAUCUGAACACUCUAUAAAGAUUCAAGCUUUACUCUUACACAGAAUUUGUUUCAUUGCUUGUGAUUAAUUUGAUCUCCUAGUACCAUAUUUUAUUGUAUAUUCAUAAUUUUAAAAUACAUGCAGGAAGCAACAUUACUCCAAGGGAGUCUAGAAAUAUAAAAUUUAAUAAUCAGAGAUUAUAAAUGAUCUCUAGCUCAGGCAACCAGGUUGUAGAUUCAUGAUGAUUCCCAUGAGGAAGGAAUACUCAGAUUAAAGCCAUUGCAGUAACUCUUACCCUGUUAUCCUGGCUCUUCUGUAGCAGUAAAGAAGGAAAUCCUUCAACCUAUAAACAAUCUUCAGUAUAUAAACCAAAAUAAUUAUGAAGAACAAAACAUUUUCCCUCAGGAAAUUUCCUGUACUGACCCAAAUGGAAAAAAAAGUUUGAUUAAGUUGUUUUCUUCUCCAUCAGAUGCUGAUGGUAUACUGUGGGUAAAUCAGCUGCACUAGAGUGAAAGUCAAAUUUCUCACAGCACUGCUACCUCAAAUACAUUACAGAGAAUUACAUUUUUUUACCUGAAGUGGUUUGCUGCGUUUUUGUCUUGACUUACUAUAUUGCUUUUUUUUUUCCCUUUGAGAAAUCUGUAAAAAUUCACAGAAAAUCAGAUUUCUUUUCUAAUUGCUUUGUUCCAUUUUAUUUUUAAAGGAAAAGGGAAAAAAAUGUCACGGCAAAAAAGCCUUGGAAAUUUAAAGCUGAGUUAGGGCACUGAAGGGACAAAUUCAAACACUGAGUUCUACUGAGCUGUACAAAGGGUGAAGUAUAUUUCAGAAUGUGCUGUGAGCUCAAAAUAGGUAAUUGUACAACUCAGUGGGCCAGAUCUAAGCACGUGCAAUCCUAGAGGAGUGUCUAUAAGUGCACCUCUCACAUGUUCAUACACACUCCUGACUCUAUAUAUAAGACUCAAAUGGCUGCACACACAGUAGAAAUAACCAACUUUUGAGCUGACAGCUCAUAACAGCAGCUGCUAAAAUACUUCUGCUAUUGGGGAGGACUGAAAGUGGAAAACAGCAUGUGUUUUCGCAAGUAUUCUCUUAGGAAUACUGUCCCAAAGACUGUGCCUGGAAUAAUAAAGUGGAUGGGCUUGGGCAGCAGGAUUGAGCACAUCAGGCAGGAAGUGCUUCCAGCAUGGAUGAGGCCUGUAGUGAGCUAAUGGUUAUUAAACUCAAAGCCAAAUCUGGAGGUUUUUCUGAUUGCUUGCAUACAUAUUCUGACACAAAAUGGAUAUACCAGACCAAUUCUUCACAGAAUUUAACACCAUUUUUAAUAUUAAGCACACCAAAAGAAAUACUUAUAAAGACUCACACGUUAAAGUGGUUUUGUAAGUAAAGAGCUAAAUUUUCAAGCACUUCUAUUACACAAAUAACGAUUAAGAGACAUAAUAAUAGGGUGUCAAAGAAUGAAUCUCAUUAGUUUCUGGAUUUAUAGGCUGAAACCUACUCAUUCCCUAGACAAACACUCAGAUUAGAGCAAGUCUUUCAAAUGGCUUUGUGGAGACACCCAUCUUCAAAGCCAGGGCACAGAUCCUGCUUUAUUUAAUAGCACAGACAUAAAUUCAUUAGCUGUGCAUGAAGUACCUGUUUGGAAUUUACAUGUAGACAUCUCAUUUGCUUUUAAGUGGUUUGAAAAUAUUAAUUUGUUCUCGCUGCACAAUGCAAUUUGUUACAGAGACCUCAGAGCUUUCUCUUCUGGGACUGGUAUGUUCACAGAAGCAACGCUGUGCAGGAACAGAAGGAGAGUUUCUGAUAGCUCUCAAGUCUAGGUUUUUGCUCCCUAGCUAACAAAGUCCACCCUUACAGAGUGCCUGUUGGUGUGGAUUUAGUAAUUCCCACCCGUGAUUUUACCCAAAGAAAUCCUAAUGUUUGAAUUUCAAUGAGGGAGAGAAUAAAACACUUGGAAUUUCAUUCCUUUUCAUUAAUUUUCCUUAAUGGAUAAAAAGUUUAGUAUGGGCCAUGGGCCUUCUAUUUACAGGGCAGAAGGCUUGAAGUAAAAUGACUUUGGGCAGUAAAAACAGAGGAAGAGAAACUGAAACAAGAACAGAAAAAGCAAGAAAAAUCUUGAUCCAACCACAUGGGCAGCGAAAGCAAUUGCCCUUAGUUAUUUUGUCAUGGAAUGAAAAGCUAAAGCUAAUCCCCUUAGCUUUCCCAUGUGAAAAUGGAAUCCAAAACUAAUCCUUUUACAGUAGCUGUACCACAUAAAAUGGGGUGUUUAAACAAAUCCCCUUAAUCAUCAUGGCAAGAAUCAGGGAGCUAAAGUCAAUCCCUUUAGUAACCUACAUGCAAAAGGGAACCAAAGCAAUCUCCUUAGUUAUGCUGGUGUUAGUAAUGAACUCAAUCAAUCUUUUAAACUCUUUUGAUAUAAAAUUAUUAGCAGCAUUCUUCUGACCCAACAUGAGUAUGCAGUAAAAUCUGUGGUACAGUAAGCUGAGCAUUACUACCCAAAUUUUAUGGCAUAAAUUACAUGCCUAAAGCUCAUUACAUGACCUACUAGUUGUAAGCACAGUGCAAGAGUAUCUAUGAAUCCAUUAGUUGAGAGGAAAAAUAAAAUCAGGAGUAUUCCCUAUAUUCCAGUAUGGAAAGCUGAUGACAAGUACUAAUAGAAAUGUAGAGAAAUCACUGAACAAGGUCAUGUUGAGCAUAUCAUCACAUUAUUUAGCUGCUAUGUUUGUUAAAUUAAACUUUCUUUUAUUUUAUAUUACUUGCUCUAAAAUAUGCCCAGUUUUUAACACUACUAGAGAAUCUACAAGAAACAUUAAUAGACUUCUUAAAAGAACUGUUGCUAGUUGAAUUCAUACAUAUUUGUUCCAUUUAGUGGCAGACUUCAUUGGUUUCAGUUUCUAAACAGAUGUAGUCUGUGGGACCCUUCCCCAACAUUGAAAUAUCCAGAGGCACCUUGUCUCAUUGUUUCCACUAGAAAACUUGGUUGUCUCUAAAAAAUCCCACAGGAUCAUCAAGCCUCCAGAAACACUAACUGAAAUCUCAUAUUGCCAAGUGAGACCAUCCAUUUCUGUUAAUUGUAAAACUAUAUUCUUUUUUUACCAGAAAAACAAAAAGUCAGCUACAACAACUGCAUUCUUCAAAUGUGGUUCUACAUCUCAACAACAUUUGUGAUCUUUCAAUUUAUUUCUGCAAGUCAUGUAUUAUUUUUGAAAGUCCUAGGAGAGGAUUCUUUUGAUUAAAUAUGAGAGCAGAGGAUUAUCCUCUUCAAUCUGAAAUACAGUUAUAAAUUAUUAUUCAUAAAUGCCUGGAUUUUGUUUUAUUUUGUUCUCCCCAGAAUUGUGAAUAUUAAAAAUAAUUCUGUUUCCUUAGCAGCAGCCAGUAAGUAUACAUACAAACUAUCUAUUUUCCACUUUUUGAAGUAGAUUAUUAGGAUUAUAUGAAGAGUAUCCAAUUCUGCUAUGAUUGCUUACACAAAAACAUAUCCACGUAUUUUUUCCAUGUGAUAAAAGCCUCUGUACUGAUUUGGAUCCCUUUGCAGGGAAAGCACAAUAAGUCACCUGUGAAAACGAA